rnacentral:rRNA from 1 species
UACAGAGGGUGCAAGCGUUAUUCGGAUUUAUUGGGCGUAAAGAGCACGUAGGCUGCUUAGUAAGUCUGGUGUGAAAUCCCUGGACUCAAUCCAGGAAGUGCAUCGGAUACUACUAGGCUAGAGGAUAGGAGAGGAGAGCGGAAUUCCUGGUGUAGAGGUGAAAUUCGUAGAUAUCAGGAGGAACAACAGUGGCGAAGGCGGCUCUCUGGACUAUAUCUGACGCUGAGGUGCGAAAGCGUGGGGAUCAAACAGG